rnacentral:tRNA from 1 species
GGGGGCGUAGAUCAAUUGGUUAGAUCACCAGACUGUCGAUCUGGAAGUUGCGGGUUCGAUUCCCGUCGCCCUCG